rnacentral:rRNA from 1 species
UCAGGUCUCCAAGGUGAACAGCCUGUGGCCAAUGGAACAAUGUAGGGAAGGGAAGUCGGCAAAACGCAUCCGUAACUUCGGGAAAAGGAUUGGCUCUGGCGACCGAGCUCGGGGGUCCCGACUCCGAACCCAUCGGCUGUCGGCGGAUUGCUCGUGCUGCUCACGCGGCGAGAGUGGGUCGCUGCGUGCCGGCCAGGCGACGGACCGGGAAUCGCCCCUUCGGGGGCUUUCCCCGAGCAU